ensembl:snoRNA SNORA72 Small nucleolar RNA SNORA72
CUGCGAAUAUUCUCGCUGUUCUGAUUUUUGUAAUGAUCAGAACAGGCUAAACAUUCGCUAUAUUAAGACCACGCCUGUGUCCCCAGACCUCGUUCUUUCCCUGGGUCUGGUUUUCCAAAUGCUGGUGAUAAAC